UGUAAAGAUGGUUUCUGUGGUAGUCUC
rnacentral:piRNA from 1 species